rnacentral:ncRNA from 1 species
GCAGAGUAGGCUUUUGUGCGUUAAGUGCCGGUUGAACAGGGAGUUGUCAGCCGGACGAAAAGGGUUGUUUUAACAGCUCUUGCGGUACAUUGGCCGCAUCCCGCUGC